AUUGAACGCUGGCGGCAGGCCUAACACAUGCAAGUCGAACGAGUGGCGGACGGGUGAGUAAUGUCUGGGCACCUGCCUGGUGGAGGGGGAUAACUACUGGAAACGGUAGCUAAUACCGCCCACCAUCAGAUGUGCCCAGAUGGGUUUAGGUAGUUGGUGGGGUAACGGCUCACCAAGGCGAAGAUACCUAGCUGGUCUGAGAGGAUGACCAGCCACACGGGAAGUGUGACACGGGCCAGACUCCUACGGGAGGCAGCAGUGGGGAAUAUUGCACAAUGGGCGAAAGCCUGAUGCAGCCAUGCCGCGUGUAUGAAGAAGGCCUUCGGGUUGUAAAGUACUUUUAGCGGGGAGGCGUUACCCGCAGAAGAAGCACCGGCUAACUCCGUGCCAGCCGCCGCGGUAAUAC
rnacentral:rRNA from 1 species